CGCUGUCACCAGGGGUGUCCGCGGCGCGGGCUGAGAAAAUACCCUGCAACCUGAUCUGGGUCAUGCCAGCGGAGGGAGCGUGAUGCGCGGGCGCG
rnacentral:ncRNA from 2 species